GACGAACCGUGCAAACGUUGUUCGGAAUCACUGGGCUUAAAGGGCGCGUAGGCGGCCUUCUAAGUCGAACGUGAAAUCCCCGGGCUCAACCCGGGAGCUGCGUCCGAUACUGGAAGGCUUGAAUCCGGGAGAGGGAUGCGGAAUUCCAGGUGUAGCGGUGAAAUGCGUAGAUAUCAGGAGGAACACCUGCGGUGUAGACGGCUUUCUGGACCAUUGCUGACGCUGAGACACGAAAGCGUGGGUAGCAAACAGG
rnacentral:rRNA from 1 species